ensembl:lncRNA
AUGUUUCCCCUGAGUGCUUUUACACCGACAGAAAUCAAUAGCGGCUCUGCUGUCACCCUCUCAGCUCGGCGACUGCUCUUCAAGCAGGGGUGUGAAUUUGAAAGACAACAAGGGCUUCUCUGUUCUUGCUCUCACCGCCUUGCCGAUGUGUCCUGUAUUUUUGCAAUGUUUGAUCAACUAUUGGGACACAGGCUGGAGAAUGGAAAGAAGAAAGAAAAUAAGACUAGAACAACACAUUGGCUGGUGCAGAAAAUAUUUGCUAGUUGACCAUUGGUGGAAGUCUUUGUGCUGUAUUCAAGCGCAAAUUUUGGCCCAUACACAAGCGACUUGAGGCAACACCACAGAGUGUGACUUUUAUCACAGCUACUUUUUGACGUUGGUUUAGUUUGUCUAGACCUUAUUAAAUGAGAGAGCUUUGUGACAUCAGUUGAAAUGGAAAGUUCUUUGACAUACAGAGAAAUUUUCACCUCAACAUCCCAUAUGGUUACAUGUCAAUAAUGGUGCUUUUCCACUGUGUGGUAUGACUCAGCUCGGCAUGGCUCAGUACAGCACGGCUUGGCUCGGCACGGUUUGCGUUUCCACUGCAGUUUAGUAUCGCUUUAGAGUGGGCAGGAUUAUUCACAUGUCGUUAUAGUUGCGCCGCCUCUACUGCCGCGAAUCCUGAAAAAGUUUUUCAUUCCACGUCACCCCAUCAAGCUCUCACUGGAUCUGCUCCUUUGCUAUCAACGAGAGGAACGCCUGUACUUCCUCAACAGACCACGAAACAGCCAUUUU